rnacentral:rRNA from 1 species
GACGAACGCUGGCGGCGUGCCUAAUACAUGCAAGUCGAGCGAAGUUUUUCUGGUGCUUGCACCGGAAAAACUUAGCGGCGAACGGGUGAGUAACACGUAAAGAACCUGCCUCAUAGACUGGGACAACUAUUGGAAACGAUAGCUAAUACCGGAUAAUAGCAUUAACUGCAUGGUUGAUGUUUAAAAGUUGGUUUUGCUAACACUAUGAGAUGGCUUUGCGGUGCAUUAGCUAGUUGGUGGGGUAAAGGCCUACCAAGGCGACGAUGCAUAGCCGACCUGAGAGGGUGAUCGGCCACACUGGGACUGAGACACGGCCCAGACUCCUACGGGAGGCAGCAGUAGGGAAUCUUCCGCAAUGGGCGAAAGCCUGACGGAGCAACGCCGCGUGAGUGAAGAAGGAUUUCGGUUCGUAAAGCUCUGUUGUUAGGGAAGAAGGAUUGUGUAGUAACUAUACACAGUAGAGACGGUACCUAACCAGAAAGCCACGGCUAACUACGUG